rnacentral:tRNA from 1 species
GCCGGUUUAGCUCAGCUGGUAGAGCAACGGUUUUGUAAACCGUGGGUCGGGGGUUCGAGUCCCUCAACCGGCACCA